ensembl:lncRNA
CAAAAGCUUGUUUUUCAAAAAGACCAAUAACAUUGAUUAACUUCCUGCCAGGCUAACUAAGAAAAAAGAGAGAUGAAACCAAUUACUAAAACAGAAAUGAAAGUAGGAACAUUUCUUCAGAUCUUAUGAACAUUAAAAGGAUAUUUAAAUGAAUUGUAUGAAAAACUCUUUUCCCACACUUUGAUAGCCUAGAUAGAAUGAACCAAUUCUUUGAAAAACAUAAUUUGCCAAAACUCACAAAAGACAAAAUAGGCAAUGUAUAUGUAUAUAUUAAUGAAAUUAAAUCAAUAAUUAAUAACCUUCCAAAAUAACAUUAGCCCCAGAUGGGUGAGAGGGUAACAGGCAGGAAGGCCAGGGGUCUCCAAAUGGAGGAAAUAGGCUGCAAGUGUUGGACAUUUUUUAUCUCUCUUUUAAGCAGCAGGAGGAAACAAAUUAGUGUUAUAUUUUUUUCCUCUUCUCUAUACCAAUUUAAAAAGAGGUUUGUCUUAAAAUUUUGUAUUGCCAUAAUGACACCUGGUUCCACCUGAACUUCAGUUCAGUUCAGUCGCUCAGUCGUGUCCGACUCUUUGCGACCCCAUGAAUUGCAGCACUCCAGGCCUCUCUGUCCAUUACCAACUCCCGGAGUUCACUCAGACUCACAUCCAUCGAGUCCGUGAUGCCAUCCAGCCAUCUCAUCCUCUGUCGUCCCUUCUCCUGUCCCCAAUCCCUGCCAGCAUCAGAGUCUUUUCCAAUGAGUCAACUCUUCACAUGAGGUGGCCAAAGUACUGGAGUUUCAGCUUUAGCAUCAUUCCUUCCAAAGAAAUCCCAGAGCUGAUAUUCAGAAUGGACUGGGAUACGAAUCUGAGAUGUGCUUCUGAAUCUGAGAUCUGCUUUCCUUUUCCUUCUGCUCCCAAGUGCUCAUUGGACAUCCACUAUGUGGUUGUGUGUAAUAAUGAAAUGAAGAAAAAUUCUGAAAUCAGAUGAUUUAGGAUUAAAUUCUGGUUUGUGAUUCAGUUUCCCCUUUUGGAAGAAUGGGUAUGAUAACACACAUCUUUCAGGGUUGAUGUGCAAAUCAAAAGUUUUUGGCAUUUAGCAAGCUCUUAUUAGAGUGAGCCAGGGAAUACCAUGCGUAUAAAGGAAGGGCUUUCUCAGGUUAAGAAACCAGACUAGACCACACCAAGAAUUUAAUCUCUUAUGCUCCCUGAUGAUGAAUAUAAAUAGAGAAAAGAAAGAUGAAACUAAUGCAGUUAAAGUGAUUCAGUGAUAGUAUUAUGGGGGAAACUGGAUUCAGCAAUUAUUAUAUGGGAUUGGCAACAAAACAGAUCUCCUUAUUUAAAUCUUGCCCAUUAUUGUUAUCUUGAUCUAUCCCAUGGAUGGAGGAGCCUGGAAGGCUGCAGUCCGUGGGGUGGCUGAGGGUUGGACACGACUGCACGACUUCAUUUUCACUUUUCACUUUCAUGCAUUGGAGAAGGAAAUGGCAACCCACUCCAGUGUUCUUGCCUGGAGAAUCCCAGGGACAGGGGAGCCUGGUGGGCUGCCGUCUAUGGGGUCGCACAGAGUCAGACACGACUGAAGCGACUUAGCAGCAGCAGAGAUGAUAUAAUUUGUAAAUUGCCUAGAAUGUUUCGAUUGUUAAAGUGCUUCUAUAUAAAAAGUG